UACGUAGGGUGCGAGCGUUAAUCGGAAUUACUGGGCGUAAAGCGUGCGCAGGCGGCUUCGCAAGUCAGGCGUGAAAUCCCCGGGCUUAACCUGGGAAUGGCGUCUGAAACUACGGAGCUGGAGUGUGGCAGAGGGAGGUAGAAUUCCACGUGUAGCGGUGAAAUUCGUAGAUAUUCGGAAGAACACCAGUGGCGAAGGCGGCUCACUGGACUGGUAUUGACGCUGAGGUGCGAAAGCGUGGGGAGCAAACAGG
rnacentral:rRNA from 1 species